AUAAACAUCUCAAUCUCAACAUGUUCAAAACUUGAGCUCCAAUGCCCCCAAAUGUUAGUGCCCCAUCUCAGUUGAUGGCAACUCAUUCUUUUGGGUUCUUAGCUCAGAAACCUUAGAGCCAUCAUUCACUUUGCUCUGUCUUCUGUACUCCUCAUCCAAUAGUCUGUGAUGCCACCUUGAAAAUAUAUGCAGACGCUGACCACUUUCCAAUUCUGGUGUCACCACUCUGGUCCAUGCCAUUACCUUCUCUCAACUAGAUUAUUGUAAUGGUCUCUUAACCAUAUACCUUUUCCUAUCUUUGCCAACCCUACAGUUCAUUUCAACAGAGUAGCCUGUUUUUCUUCUAGAUAUGUGAGAUCAUGUUGCUCCUCUGCUCAAAACACUUCAAUGUCCUCACUCAGUUGAAUUAAAUUUUGAAAAUGGCCUAUGUGACCUACAUGAUCCCUCAUUACCUCUGCCUCAUCCCCGACUUCUCUCUCCCUCACCUACAGCACUGCAGCCACAUUAUCCAACUUGCACUUGGGACACGCCAACACAUGCCUGCCUCAGGCUUUGUCCUUUCUUUUUUUUUUUUUUUUUAAUAUUUUAUUUAUUUAUUUGACAGAGACACAGUGAGAGAGGGAACACAAGCAGGGGGAGUGGGAGAGGGAGAAGCAGACUUCCCACGGAGCAGGGAGCCCAAUGCGGGGCUCGAUCCCAGGACCCUGUGAUCUUGACCUGAGCCGAAGGCAGACGCUUAACGACUGAGCCACCCAGGCGCCCGGGGCUUUGUCCUUUCUACGGCUUCUGCUUGGAUGACCCUUCCCUCAGACAUCUGCCUGGCUCCCAGCAUCAUCCCCUCAGGUCUUUGCUCAAAUGUCUUUUUCUUGGUGAGGAGUUUCGUGACUAUGAUAUUUUAAAGAGGAGAUCACACCUGUACAGCUUAGCGUGCUCAUACUUUUCCCAGUCUUAGAUUUCUCCAUCAUACUCUUCACUAGCUUAUAUGCUGCAGAAGCUCUAUGAAGGCAGGGAAAAGAAACUAAUGUUUUGUUUGCUACUGUCUCCCCUCUGCUUAGCUUGGUGCCUAAUACAGGAUACACACUCGUUACAUGACUACACGAGCUGGGUAUCAUGAGUAGCUGUAUUGUAGCCGCAUCUGCGAGUAGAGAAAACAGGUCACACAGCUAAUCUGCUGCAGAGCUGGCUCUGUCCUGCUCCUUACCACUGUACACAUACUACUCUUUGGCAGUGAAGAGCAGGUAUGACCUGGAAUUUGGCAGAGCUAAGUUCAAAUGCAAGUUUUCCCGCUUACUUUUGAUGUGACUUAAAGCAAAUUACUGAACCCUAAACUUUAAUUUUCUUAGCUUAAAAAUGAGAUUUGCAAUAAGAUCUGCCUCUUGGGGUUGCUGUGAAGAUUAAAUACCCUAGAUCUUAUCUCUCAAUUAGGAAUCAUAUUCAGCACAUGUGAUGUAAAGCCCAUUAGCAAUGGUUUGAAGAAAGAGUUUAUUUUCCUCAUAUAACAAGGGGUUUAGUGGUAAGCUGUUCAGAAUCGGUAUGUGCUUGAGCAAUCAAAACUUAUUAUGGAUACAAAGUCUUAUAUUACAGUAAAACAUAAAACAAAUAAAAAUACAGGUCUCAUAUACUAAAAUGGCAAAUAAUAAUAAUUAAUAAUAACAAUAGUUUCAGUUAAUGUGAAAAGGGAAUAAAUUUUGAUUUUCUUUUUUUUAAAGAUUGAUUUAUUUAUUUUAGAGAGAGGGAGAACAGUGGGGAGGGGGCAGAGGGAGAGAAUCUCAAGCAGACUCCCACUGAGCACGACACAAGGCUCCAUCUCAUGAUGCAGGGCUCUAUCUCAGGACCCAGGGCUCAAUCUCAAGACCCAUGAGAUCAUGACCUAAGCCAAAAUCACGAGUUGGACACUUAACUGACCAAGCCACCCAGGCGCCUCUGAUUUUCUUCUUAAUUUGACUCUCUUUCUUAACCUAUUAAGAUUUCAAGAGCUUGAGUUUUAAUUUUGUUAUCCAUCAUACUCUCGCUGCUACCAAGGUUGGUGUCACCAGUGAGCAUGUUAACUCUCCUCCAAGUUCUUCAUUUGAGUUAUUGAUAGAAAUCACUGGGGCGCCUGGGUGGCUCAGUUGGUUAAGCAACUGCCUUCGGCUCAGGUCAUGAUCCUGGAGUCCCGGGAUCGAGUCCCGCAUCGGGAUCCCUGCUCGGCAGGGAGUCUGCUUCUCCCUCUGACCCUCCCCCCUCUCAUGUGCUCUCUCUCUCUCAAAUAAAUAAAUAAAAUCUUAAAAAAAAAGAAAAAGAAAUCGUUAAGCAGGACACAACAGAAUAGAGCCCUGUGGCAGGCUACUAAAGACCACUCUUUGACAUUAGUGCUUUCAUGGUGCAGUCGUUCUACUAAUCAAAAUGUUGUAAAAUUAUCAUUCAUAUUUUCCAUUCUUUCUAAAUUGUCAUUAGAGAUCUUGUCCACUUGCAUUGAUGAGACUCUGACACAGAAUUUUCCUGGCCAAGCUCCUGAUACUGAGCUUAAUGUCCUUCUCCCUUCUCAAUCUUUUUCUUUCUGGUUUCCUCUAGCCCUUUCACUUAUGCUUUGAACCAAGAAAUGAGCUUACAUUUAUCACAGAUGUAAUUAGUUAUUGCUUUCACAAGGAAUGUAGCUCAAACCCUGCAUGUCACUGAAAAUGUGCUCUUUGCUUCCACACCUCUUCUUGGUUGCAGUGCGAACUGCUGCCUCCGGAAACUACCUCCACUGCCCCACUCAUGGGGCAAGCUCUUGAAAAGAGCCAGUCCAAAGCCUCUCCCUCCCCUGAAUGGUUUGACAUAUUCCCAGGUAGCUCUCAGAUGACGUUGCCUAAAUCAGUGACACACACCUUCUUUCAAGUUCCAGUGUCAUGUCACCAACUGCCUACUGAAUCCCUCUACCAGGAUGUCCCUCCCAGAGGAUAAUUAGGGUUAUCAGGUUCCAAUCCACUAAACUCCCCACUCUCUCCUUCACCACCAGCCCAAUCCCCUUGCCCCUAUCUACGAAACCACCAAUUCUUCAAUGUCGUACAAUUCAGUCCAGAAGUAUACAAAUGUUUCUUGGGUAUUGAUGUUCUAGGAGCUGUUCUAAGCAUCUGUAGGGGCCAAAGGUAGGCUGCCCCAAAAUGUGCCACUUUGGCAUAUCAACUAUUUUAAAUAGAAGUUACUUAAGAAAUGGCCAAAUGUUAAAAAGAACACUCUGACUGCCUCUCUCCUCUUUGUCUCCAGAAAGCAAGAGCUAAAUCUCCCAUUUGAAAGGAAUUCUCCCUGGACCAGGAGGUAAAGAGACAGAAAAUUUAGAGCAGAAAAGGCUGUGUAAACAACCCUUGUUACUUUUUAAUAAUUUACUACCAUAACCCAAAUUCCGUUUAGAAUUCCUAAUUGAAGCUCCCAAAGUUACUUAACUUCUUUGUCCUGUCAGAUCCUCACAGAUUUAUUAUCUCUUCGUCUAAAAAAUAUAAAAAUUGCCUGCCUUGGUCAUUUCUUGAGGUCUCAAUUUUUUUAUGGGGCCUCUGUGUGCACAUAAUAAAACUUUGGGUUUUUUCUCUUGUUAAUCUGUCCCGUGUCAAUCUAAUUCUUAAACCGGCAGAGCUUAAAGAGUAGAAGGAAACAUUUUUUCUCCCCUACACAUCCCAUAUACAAACCUCAAGGCACUUGGUCUAGGGAGAUUAACAAAUGGAAAAUGACUUAUUUCUACAAAAUGAUGUAGGCAAUAGCUUAAAUAAAUUAAAGAAAAAUAGGUAUUCAUGUGAGCAGAAGAGGAAUAUCUGAAGUAUUGUCACUUCAGAUGUAUGUGAUCCGUGUGACUCUAUAUAGGGGGCCAAUCAGACUCAGCACACAGAGAAAACACAGAGGAAACCUCUCCAGGAGGCCCAAAUCACCACACCUGUGCUUGAAUAACUUCAUAAAACAAAGGGAUGUAUGAUGGGGGCAUCAAUGUGGAUGGAAAGAGAAGCUAAUAAAACAAACAGUCACAGCCUUUUGACCAACUUAAUGAGCAGAUUCAACAUAUUGCUGGGUACCGAGAGGCUGAAAAUUGUGAAAAGUAUAUUGCUUUCUCACAGAUGGCUUCAGGACUCACCCAGACCACUAGGAAGCUUCUUGAAAUAUCACCUGCAGCUCAUACUCAGUGGAGAAUUUGGUUAACAUCAUGUCAUAAAUGCAUUAGGUAUGCAAAUAUCCCCAGCUUAGUUCUGUAGAGACAGUCGUCGUAUAUGUAUGGAUAUUAAUUGUGCCCGGUCCUGGACCCUGUGCUCUGGGGAGACAAUCGGGAGUUUGUAAUCUUCUUUUAAAAAUGACCCAUUCAUUCACACAAGCCCGCAAGCAAUUAUGCAAUCUACUCUACUAUGAUGUAUUUGCAUAUAUGCAAGGAAUAAAGUAGUGAAACGACCAAGAGAGAAAUAAAGUGCCAAGUGUUAAGUACAAUGCAAUUCUUAGUGGGCUAUAGGCUUGAAGAGCAGAUCUGCAACCUUCACAUGAUGAGGCCUAUUAAAGUGCUUUUGGACCGUGCAGAACCCCUGAAAUGCUGUCGCAGCAAUACCAACAAUAGCACCUGUCCCUUAAUCCUGCGUCCCUGAGAGUGCCGCCUCACUUUUCUAACUCCUAAAUUCAUGUUUUGUAUUUCUAAGCUCUCUUUGGUAUCGCAGAUCUGGUAUAAGUUAAGCGGACAAAUGAGGAUGUAAGAAAUGGGGAAGUUAGGAAAGGAAAGCAAAUGAUAAGUGAAGCUCAGAAAGAGUGGGACUGAGUUGAUUCGAUCAGAAAGCGGUGGUGGUUUAAGAAGCUGGAUGUGGGGCCGCAACUUCCCCACACCCUUCUGUAGCUGCCCACCCACAAAGCUGUGGUUUCUGACCAAGAGGAGAUAGUUGAUGGCUAAGAAGUGUCCCAGAGAGAUGACUUUUGGAAUUUUCUUGGACUGUACCUCACUCACAGCUGCCCUUCCCAAGUACCCAUCAGGCUCGGACUCGACCAGGAGACAUUCAUUGGCAGUGCGCUGGGCUACUGGCCUCAGGCACAGACUGAAAUUUGGGGCAAAUAAAGCAAAUGGAGGCAGGAAGAGUCAUCGAUCAUCUCCAGGCCGAGAAACUCUCUUAAAACAAACUAAAUUAUAUUAUUUGCAAUGCUCAGCAUGUGUUAAAAUGCUCCGGGCUUUUUUAAUUCACGUGCUCAGAACUGUCAGGAGAGCGCCUUCAUUAAACUAGUAAUUGACAGAUUGGUUUUGUUGAUCCCCAAGACCUUGCUUAUUUCCUAAACAGUAGGGGGUCUAAAAUGAGGAAUUGUCUGAAAAGAACGAAAAUAAAAUAGGGAUAGAGGGUUUGGAUUGGCCCCAGUUGCCGGACUCUUGUGAAGAAGCACAAUAUUCCCUCGGAAAAGAAAUGGCAAGGGUGUAUUUUCCUCUGGAGCCUCAUCAGUGAUGAUAAAUGAAGCCAAAUUAAUCCUCUGUUGGUCUCAUUUGCUUCCCUCUUUGGAGCUGUAUUCCCCUGCAUGAUUGUUUGUAACUGAAGACAAUCUCUUAAUUGUUCUUUUAAAUAAACCUCCCAAAGCUUCCAGUUUGGUUCAGGGGGUGGGAAUUCCAUGAUACUGAGGCUGCCAUUCAGGGCCAUCCUUAUGGAAAUAAAUUGCAUAACUGAAGUGUCUCAUAUCCUGCUCCACUGGAUUUUUCUUCAGGGAUCUAUCUCCAAAUCACCAGCAUAUUUUUAGAAAUUCAAACAAAAACACUUGAGUGUCACAAUAUCCUGCUAAUUAGCCAUUGUUUGUAAUGUAGCCCCUCUCUGUUUUUCCCAUAUUCAUCUUCCUUCUCCCCAGAGUUGCCCAUCAUCCAUUUAUUACUUGUGCUAUAUCUCUAAAGUUUAUGCUUAAAAUUUUGAAACAUUUCAUAACAAAGACCACCAGCAACUUCAUUAACCAGUGAAAUAUUAAGUAAGUCAUUUUAUUCUAUCUCAUAUAGACUUCCUUUAGCAGGGUUUUUAUUUGUUUGUUUGUUUUUGAGAAUUUUGAACUUCCAGUCACUCUAUAUUCAGCAGUCUGACUUUAGGUUUGCACAAACCUCACCCAGAAAGGCCACUUGUGGAAACAUAGCACUGAACUCCAUUGUUGCCUUGUCCCACCAGUGUCCCAAUGCAUUUUAAACCUAUCCUUUCCUCCUUAGAAAAAUGCUCCUGAGAAUUCACAGACACCCAUCGUCCUAUCUUAUCUCAGGAAUGAAGUGCCAGCAGUACUGAGGUGGAUGUGGGGAAGUGAAAACAUAAUCAGGGGGAGGCAGAGUACGGGGACCACCCUCAGUGCUUUAAAAGGGCAACCCUCAGAGUCAUGGCUAGAGCUCGUGUGCAAUGAGUAUCGCCCAGAUCUGAGCAGGAGAAGAGUCUUGGAGCAGUCCAGAAGCAAAAUCCAAGAGCCAAGUUAUCAUGAAGGUGAAGAUAAUAGCAUCAGAAUCUCCUGGAAAACUAUUUUAUUUUAUUUUUAAUUUUUUAAUUUUUAUUUUUAAAGAUUUUAUUUAUUUGACACAGAGAGAGAGAUAGCCAGAGAGGGAACACAAGCAGGGGGAGUGCAAGAGGGAAAAGCAGGCUUCCUGCUGAGCAGGACCCUGGGAUGGGGGGCUCGAUCCCAGGACCCUGGGAUCAUGACCUGAGCCGAAGGCAGACGCUUAACGACUGAGCCACCCAGGCGCCCCUGGAAAACUAUUUUAAAUAAUUGGACUCCCUUUUGAAGAACCAAGUCCUCUCUUAUACACAUAUGCCAGGGACGUCUUCAUCCUAUUGUUGAUGUUUGAUCCAUUGCAGUAGGGCAUCUGGCACUCACGGAGAGGGUGGUGAUGGUGAGGUUGGAGGAAAGCCAGAUCCAGGAAGGGCUUCAGUGGCCAUGUUCCGUAGCUUCCUCUUCUUCCUAAGAGCAAUGGGAAGCCACCAAAAGGUAGAGUCGGCAUGAAUUUCUGGUCACAAACUGAGUUGUGAGGAAAGACGUUACUUCUACAGUGUUCAGCAUUCUACCUUAAUUUCUAUUUUAAGCUCAUUCCACCAGAUGGCACAUAAUGAAUUACUAUCAAUUCUCUAGAAAUUCUAUCAAUUCGGGGUUCUUUAAUCAAUGUAAGAGUUCAUCAUUUCCCAUCCCCAGAGUUGCGUGUUCCUUUUACGGGUGCUCUGUUGUCAACCACUUCUAGGGAAAUGAAUGCUGCUCCAUCUUUCUUCAUGGUUGACGCCCCCAUGCCAUUCUCACUGGUGCAUCCAGUAUAGAGGCAUUAGGUUAUGAAUAUCCUAAAUGGCCCCAAACAGCAAGACCAACGGUAGAAUGCAGGAUAUGAAAACCUUAUUCUGCCACAAAUCGUUUUUAAACGUGGAUGGGAAUAUGAUCAUAAAAUAGAUCGUUCUGUGGAUGCUCUGUAGGUAAAGGGUUGAAGAGAUACAGCAAUGGAUGCAGAGAGCCCUUAGGAUAUUAUAAAUAAUUUCAGGAUUGCGAUAGAUGUAGCUUGGGCGAGGGUGGUUGAGGAGAGAUGGAAGUAAGAAUAUGGGCUCAUAGGAUAUAUAUAGGAUAAGAAUGACAGAAUUUGGUAAAAAGGUUGGAUAUUGGACUGAAGGAAAGGUAACCCCUUGGGUUUCUGACUUGAGCAACUGGAUGUGUGUGGGUGCUGUUGGCUGGGUGAGAGAACAGUAAAGGAAGAUCUGGGAAAAUAGCCCCAGGUGAUUUUGAUAUGUUGACUUUGAGAGGCCUUUCAGACAUUCAAGCGAAUGUUAGCAGGACCAAUGUAAUGGAUGGAGACUAAAAGGAGAAGUCUGAGCUAGAAAUAUAAAUGAGACCUCUGCGUAUGGAUCCUUUCCAUAAAGAUGGGUAUAGAUGAGAGUGUUAAGAAGGAGAGUCUACAAUAGGAAAAUAAUGCAGACAUGAGUCCCAUCUUUUAUUUACAUUGGUACAAGUUUCUUAUUGGCUGAUUCAAAGAAGAGUGAGUGAGUACCCAUGGCACACCAAAUGUCUUCCUCUGUAUUAAACAGUCAGUGGUCCAUCACAGAACGUAGAAAUAUCAACACCUCCAACUUCAGAGUAAGCCUUCUGCUCACCAAGGUUCUUCAUCUCUGUGCUAAUGAGAGUUUUGUUCUCUUUCGUUUGCUAUUUUGAGAUAUUUAAUCUCCAGGCUAUUAACAGUGAGCAUCAAGCUCCCUUUCUUGUGCAGUGACAACGUCUGCAGCCUGCUGUGGUUCUUCAUGAUUCCAAAGUGAUAUCCCCACUAUAAAAAGAAGAUGAGUGUCAUUGAGGCGAUGCCAAGGACCCGGGGAUAAAAAACAUGGUCAGUGAAACCCAAAGCCAAAGAAGGAUGUGUAAAGGGGACCCAAAGCCAAGCGUCAUGGCAAAGGAUGUAUCUUUGGGUACAUCUCAGUACUUCAUUAUUCCAAAUGUUUACAUCCAAACAGAGCAGAGACACCUAUCAAGUACCUGAGGAAAGAGGCCACAGCCAGAACUGCAUCGGACAGCAACAAAUCCUUGCCCUUGGACGUCCGUCCCCCAGGAUGAUCUGUGCAGGAUGUAAAGCCAGAACAACUUUCAUAAACUUAAACUUGUUCAUCUCAAAUUCUGUCUCUACCACCCAAAUAUAUUACAGUUCCUCUCCAUCUGUAAAGGACAGGAGGUUGUUCUUAUCUAAAGUAAAAAGGAAUAAGACUACUGUAGAUGGAAGUUUCAGAUACUCGGAAGUAAGGAGCAGAUAGCUUCAAUCAAUAGUGAAUAGCUCUGGGUGAACUUGGAUCUGGUAUAAAGGAUACAACACAAAACAGUUCCAUCUGAAGAUAAUAAGUCUUCAGUCAAAAAGAGGCAGUAACUGUGAUGCAUGUCAUUCAUGAUUUCUUUUUUAUUCCUUUUUUAUGUACAGCUCAAAUAUUUGAGACUUGGGAAGUAGAGGUUCUGCUAGAUCUAAUAUUUUGAUCUUCCUUUGAAUUUAGUUUAAAAAAAUGGAAAGCUCCCAGUUGUUAUAUAGCUCCCUGGAUUUUGUAAUUUAAGUGAAAAACACUGAAAAUGAGGACUUCUUAAAUCUAGACUGCAGUCAUAUCUAUUUAAUUGCACUUUUUCUUGUGCUUCUCUAAGCUAGACUAUUACACUUAGCAAAAAGCUUAGUAGCAUAAUUACAGUGCUAUAAAACAUUUUCUCCCUUUUUUUAAACUAGCAUCUUCAUCUGCCACAUUUCAAGAUGCAUCACUAAAUUAUACAACCUGACAACUAUUAAGGUUUUUGCUAUACUUCACAAAUCAAGAAAAAAAUAUGCUUCAUUUUCAGGAUUCCUUAAGAAAUAAUGUCAAGUAUUCCUUAAAUAUGCAUUCCAAAAUGUGGAAAUCUUAAGUGAGCAUCACCCAACUUGUCGGCAAACACUGAGGAAGAAACUUGUAAUGAGCAAAAUAAAAUCUUUUAAGCCUGGAAAUUUACUAGAAAGCAAGACAAAUGGUUGAAAUUGUUUCUCAGAACAGCAACAGUACUUGAGAGCAAUAAAAAAUGUGAUAAUAUUUAAUGGCCUUUGUUAAUACAUGAUAAAGUCCCUAAAUUGUAAUUUACAAUCAAAACAGUUGGUGGCACCUUUG